rnacentral:rRNA from 1 species
CCUACGGGAGGCAGCAGUGGGGAAUAUUGGACAAUGGGGGGAACCCUGAUCCAGCGACGCCGCGUGAGUGAAGAAGUAUUUCGGUAUGUAAAGCUCUAUCAGCAGGGAAGAAAGAAAUGACGGUACCUGACUAAGAAGCCCCGGCUAACUACGUGCCAGCAGCCGCGGUAAUACGGAGGGGGCAAGCGUUAUCCGGAUUUACUGGGUGUAAAGGGAGCGUAGACGGCGAUGCAAGUCUGAAGUGAAAGGCGGGGGCCCAACCCCCGGACUGCUUUGGAAACUGGAUGGCUGGAGUGCAGGAGAGGUAAGUGGAAUUCCUAGUGUAGCGGUGAAAUGCGUAGAUAUUAGGAGGAACACCAGUGGCGAAGGCGGCUUACUGGACUGUAACUGACGUUGAGGCUCGAAAGCGUGGGGAGCAAACAGGAUUAGAUACCCUUGUAGUC